rnacentral:rRNA from 1 species
UGCGUAGGCGGUCGGGUAAGUCUGACGUGAAAUCCUCAAGCUCAACUUGGAAACUGCGUCGGAUACUAUUCGGCUAGAGGAAUGGAGGGGAGACUGGAAUACUUGGUGUAGCAGUGAAAUGCGUAGAUAUCAAGUGGAACACCAGUGGCGAAGGCGAGUCUCUGGACAUUUCCUGACGCUGAGGCGAAAGCCAGGGGAGCGAAACG